rnacentral:rRNA from 1 species
UGGGGAAUCUUCCGCAAUGGACGAAAGUCUGACGGAGCAACGCCGCGUGAGUGAUGACGGCCUUCGGGUUGUAAAGCUCUGUUAAUCGGGACGAAUGGUUCUUGUGCGAAUAGUGCGAGGAUUUGACGGUACCGGAAUAGAAAGCCACGGCUAACUACGUGCCAGCAGCCGCGGUAAUACGUAGGUGGCAAGCGUUUUCCGGAAUUAUUGGGCGUAAAGCGCGCGCAGGCGGAUUGGUCAGUCUGUCUUAAAAGUUCGGGGCUUAACCCCGUGAUGGGAUGGAAACUGUCAAUCUAGAGUAUCGGAGAGGAAAGUGGAAUUCCUAGUGUAGCGGUGAAAUGCGUAGAUAUUAGGAAGAACACCAGUGGCGAAGGCGACUUUCUGGACGAAAACUGACGCUGAGGCGCGAAAGCCAGGGGAGCGAACGGG